AAAGAAGAGGAAAAAAAAUGCCACUUGGACUCAAAAAGACGUUGUUGCUGCCAAACACAUGAUUUUUGCACAUGAGUCACCGAGGUGCAGAGGGAAGAAGCAAGCCCUCAAGCUGGCUCCAAAGCCAUGGCAUGCUGCACCAAACGCCCCGUUCACUGAGUGGCUCCCAAGUCCCUUCCCCAAGGCGGGAGGUGCCGAGCCUUGGGGAGCUUGGGUUUUCUGUCUCCGUGGGUCUUUCAGUGUUUAUGCCCUGGGCAGCACCUGCUCACAGGGGCCUUCCUGGAGGGCGUGACCUGGCCUCUCACAGGUGUGUGCAGCUCACUCUCACACAGGAACGGCCCCCAGCCCACCCCACGAGACACGGCCACCGCUCCGGAGACAUGGUGUGUUUUCCCUCAGUGCUAGGAAUGAAAUUUUCCAUCAGAUUCGCAUUUCCAAAGUGUUUUAUGUGA
rnacentral:lncRNA from 1 species